rnacentral:lncRNA from 1 species
UUUUUUUUUUUUUCCUUUUUUUUUUUUUUCCUUUCGAUGUAGGGAAAAGAGGAAUAAAGCAAAAUGCCAAACAACUUAUCAAAGCUGGUUGUCUCUCAAGAUCCUGACUUAUGAAAACAAAAAUUUGAAGGAUCCCUUAAACAGCUCUUAGCAGUUUGUUUAGAUUAUUCUAGCAGAAGUUUGGUCCUUUGUAAAUCAGCUAUCUUUGAUAUUAAGCUGGAAAGAAGCAAGGAAAGAUAUUAACUGGAAAGAAGCAAUGCUUGUAACAUGACAAACCGUUUGUCUUGGGGCAACAGAGUCUUAGGGCUCAGUGGGCUAUUGCCAUUAAUCCAAACAGACCACAGCCCCACAGUCACUCUGCCUGAUUAGCAUAUAGCCAUGAAUUUAAGGAAAAAUUCAGACAAAUCUAAAAACCUCUACUAACCUAGCUGGCUAUACAUUUCUAAUCAGAAUUCUUUCCCUGUCCUUAAAAUAAGCAGAAAACAGAUUUCUCCAUUUCCCCUAAAAUCAAUCUUUCACUUUAUCUGUCAGUUGCUUUCUCCCAAUUAGUAUUCCAAAUUCAUUUAUUUUUGUCAUAAAUUAAAUUUUUUUUGCGUACCUUGGCACGAGUUUUUCAUUCAAUACUUGUGAGUAAUGUGACAGACUUAACGUUGUGUUGCUUAGCAGUAAUAAUAAUAAAAACAAAGUAACUUUGUUAAUGAAUUGAGAUGAAUCAAAAAUGCCUUAUUAAUUAUUGCUUGCCUAGUAGGCUAAGCUUUGGCUCUUCACCUCACUGGCCCAGAGAACAUUUCUUGCCUUUGGCCAUGUCGGAGGGGCUCAUUAAAACAUCUCUUGGGAGCAGAAAGAAAUUGUUAGUGAAAAGCAAUGGUCAGUGCCUCAGCUAGAACCCAGAAGGGAAGGGAAUCCCUCAUCACUGAGAGCUAACAAGGCUGUAUGUAUUACACCUGUAAUCAAACUGCUCCGAAAAUGCCAGGAGACCACUGAGCUCUCUUUGUGAUUGGUGAAGUUAUCUGAAAAUGCUGAAUCCAAUCCAUAAUUGAUGUGCACACAUACAAUUACAAGCCUCCAGAUAUCAGUUAAAAUGUUGCAGUUGCAAGCCUUAAGGAGUGGUAAACCUUAACAUGCAUGGCAUAAAAUAAGGUGUUUGACAUAAUAGAAGUGAACCUGUUUUGCUUCCAUGCACUGUCAGUUAAAUUUUAAUUGAAUUUGCUACAUUUGUUAACAGAUGUAAUUAUAGAAAACCUUACUGAAAAACAAUGAUAUAUGGAUUGGCUUGGGUAUCUUGUAGAUAUUUUGUGAAUCAGGGCUGGGGCUUUUUACUUUCACAUUUUGUGAAUUAAUUUGUGUGUUUAAAUAAAGAUCUACAUCACUGCUUUGCCUAAGGUAAGUAAAAUUUGCUAUGACAUGCAAUAUGACCUUGGGAUAUUGAAGUUUGAGAAUUUUACAUGUCCUAAGCUGAACACUGGUGCCUCUUGAAAGCUUGCAUUUGCUUCUGGCCUCUGUGUGAUCUCCUAGAAUAGUCAGAAU